GUGCCAGCCGCCGCGGUAAGACAGAGGGUGCAAACGUUGUUCGGAAUUACUGGGCAUAAAGCGCACGUAGGUGGUUCGUUAAGUCGCGUGUGAAACCCCCCGGCUCAACCGGGGAAUUGCGCGCGAUACUGGCGGGCUUGAGAUCGGGAGGGGUGAGCGGAACUCCAGGUGGAGCGGUGAAAUGCGUAGAUAUCUGGAGGAACACCGGUGGCGAAAGCGGCUCACUGGCCCGACACUGACGCUGAGGUGCGAAAGCUAGGGGAGCAAACGGGAUUAGAUACCCCGGUAGUCCUGGCCUUAAACGAUGAGAACUAGGUAGUGGGUCCGACCUGGGCACACUGCCGAAGCGAAAGUCUUAAGUUCUCCGCCUGGGGAGUGUGGUCGCAAGGCUGAAACUCAAAGGAAUUGACGG
rnacentral:rRNA from 1 species